rfam:Triticum aestivum genome assembly, contig: Triticum_aestivum_CS42_TGACv1_scaffold_641109_T_4AL-0.228746_2AS-0.145344
AUCCCAGUGAAGAUUCUAAGACCAUAGAAAGUGUUGUAUGACACUGAUAGCAACAACUGCUUCUCUCCACUGCAAGUGUCCUCCUUCGGCCAUAACCUUUGUGGUUUGGUCUGGGCUGGAAUCUCCAUUUGCACCUGGUUUGGAUUAGCUGUGUGUGUGAUUUUAACCUGGUCUCUGAGUGGU